rnacentral:misc_RNA from 1 species
AACGCACGAGACCUGCGGACCUGCGGAGGGAUCAUUAACAAAUUUGUUGAGUAUGUACAAUUGUGAACAGGCCAGAGUUUGUAUCUGAAGAAGCAGAUAAGCAAUUAUUUGUGUAGCUAAAGAAGCAGAUGAGCAAUUAUUUGUGUAGCUGAAUAUUGCGAAGCAGAUAAGCAAUUAUUUGUGUAGCUGAAUAUUUGUGUAGCAGAUGAGCAAUUAUUUGUGUAGCUGAAUAUUUGUGUA